rnacentral:rRNA from 1 species
AGAGUUUGAUCCUGGCUCAGGACGAACGCUGGCGGCGUGCCUAACACAUGCAAGUCGAGCGGAGUGAGAUUCAAGCUUGCUUGAAUUUCAUUUAGCGGCGGACGGGUGAGUAACGCGUGGGCAACCUGCCUUGAUCUGGGGGAUAACACAGAGAAAUUUGUGCUAAUACCGCAUGAAGCAGUUUUAAGACAUCUUAGAGCUGUUAAAGGAGCAAUCCGGACCAAGAUGGGCCCGCGUCUGAUUAGCUAGUUGGUAAGGUAACGGCUUACCAAGGCGACGAUCAGUAGCCGAACUGAGAGGUUGAUCGGCCACAUUGGAACUGAGACACGGCCCAGACUCCUACGGGAGGCAGCAGUAGGGAAUCUUCCACAAUGGACGAAAGUCUGAUGGAGCAACGCCGCGUGAGCGAUGAAGGCCUUCGGGUCGUAAAGCUCUGUUGUUAGGGAAGAACGAGUACCGGAGUAACUGCCGGUACCUUGACGAUACCUAACCAGAAAGCCACGGCUAACUACGUGCCAGCAGCCGCGGUAAUACGUAGGUGGCAAGCGUUGUCCGGAAUUAUUGGGCGUAAAGCGCGCGCAGGCGGUCCUUUAAGUCUGAUGUGGAAGCCCACGGCUCAACCGUGGAGGGUCAUUGGAAACUGGGGGACUUGAGUGCAGAAGAGGAAAGCGGAAUUCCACGUGUAGCGGUGAAAUGCGUAGAGAUGUGGAGGAACACCAGUGGCGAAGGCGGCUUUCUGGUCUGUAACUGACGCUGAGGCGCGAAAGCGUGGGGAGCAAACAGGAUUAGAUACCCUGGUAG